UUAAUUGAAGAGUUUGAUCAUGGCUCAGAUUGAACGCUGGCGGCAGGCCUAACACAUGCAAGUCGAGCGGCAGCACAGAGGAACUUGUUCCUUGGGUGGCGAGCGGCGGACGGGUGAGUAAUGCCUGGGAA
rnacentral:rRNA from 1 species